UUGGCGGACGGGUGAGUAACGCGUGGGUAACCUGCCUUGCACUGGGGGAUAACACUUAGAAAUAGGUGCUAAUACCGCAUAAGCGCACGGUCCUGCAUGGGACAGUGUGAAAAACUCCGGUGGUGCAAGAUGGACCCGCGUCUGAUUAGCUGGUUGGCGGGGUAAAGGCCCACCAAGGCGACGAUCAGUAGCCGGCCUGAGAGGGUGGACGGCCACAUUGGGACUGAGACACGCCAACUCCUACGGAAGGCAGCAG
rnacentral:rRNA from 1 species